GUAUAAGAUAACAUUUUUAUGUCUAUUUUCUUGAAAAAUAGAGGUGUGUUGAUUAUAUCACUGCUUCUGUACAUAUGCAAUUAAGAAAGAACCUGAUCUCUUGAUCAGGUUCUUUCUUGU
rnacentral:sRNA from 1 species